GAUGAACGCUGGCGGCGUGCCUAAUACAUACAAGUCGAACGGAGACUGUUUAGCAAUAAGCAGUCUUAGUGGCGAACGGGUGAGUAACGCGUUGGUGACCUGCCCCAAAGUGUGGGAUACCAGUCCGAAAGGACUGCUAAUACCGCAUGUGGUCUCCGGGAUUAGAUGCCUGAUGACUAAAGGAGUAAUUCGCUUUGGGAGGGGCCUGCGUCCCAUCAGCUAGUUGGUAAGGUAACGGCCUACCAAGGCUUUGACGGGUAGGGGACCUGAGAGGGUGACCCCCCACAAUGGAACUGAAACACGGUCCAUACACCUACGGGUGGCAGCAGUAGGGAAUAUUGCAUGAUGGGCGAAAGCCUGAUGCAGCAACGCCGCGUGCGCGAUGAAGGCCUUCGGGUCGUAAAGCGCUUUUCAGAGGGAUGAGGAAGGACAGUACCUCUGGAAUAAGUCUCGGCUAAUUACGUGCCAGCAGCCGCGGUAAAACGUAGGAGGCGAGCGUUAUCCGGAUUUACUGGGCGUAAAGCGUGUGUAGGCGGUUUGGAAAGUUGGAUGUGAAAGCUCCUGGCUCAACUGGGAGAGGUCGUUCAAAACUUCCAGACUAGAGUAUGGUAGAGGGAGGUGGAAUUCCGGGUGUAGUGGUGAAAUGCGUAGAUAUCCGGAGGAACACCAGUGGCGAAAGCGGCCUCCUGGACCAUUUCUGACGCUCAGACACGAAAGCUAGGGUAGCAAACGGGAUUAGAGACCCCGGUAGUCCUAGCUGUAAACGAUGUAGACUUGGCGUCGGUGGGUUUAAAUCCAUCGGUGCCGUAGCCAACGCGAUAAGUCUACCGCCUGGGGACUACGGCCGCAAGGUUA
rnacentral:rRNA from 1 species